ensembl:lncRNA
UUAUUCUUAAGUUUUAAAAUGUAGCACACUGUUCUUUGAUGCUCUUAUUUUUCUCCCUUUUUAAAACACAGGUUCCUAGUAUGCUCCACUGGAGUCAUCUGGAGCCUGCAAGCAUUUGUACUGUUUAUGUUCAAUCAAGGAUAGAUGCCUUCAUUUCUCCAAAUAAUGGUUCAUCUCACAAAUAAUGAAUACAUAAAAAGAUUUAGAAGCUGUAUUGAAAAGAAUGUUAAAUGUCAUGAGAUUCAGCAGUUUAAAAUAACUGGUUCCUGCUUUGCUAGGGGAACUCACGUUUUGUGUGGCAUUGCCAGCUCAGAAGAGCAAGUAAAAAUUGUUACAAACAUUUUUUUAUCUGUUCCUAUUUGAAGAUACAAAAGUGCAUUUAGUCAAGGUUGCAAAGCAAUCCAGUUCAAGUUGUUCAAAGGCACAGAAGUGUUGCUAUGGGUUGGGGUCAUCCCAUGUCCUUCGCCCCACCCUACUAAGCAGUCUUCUGUAUCUAUCAAAAUUUUAGUUUGAAAUAAUUAUUCAGUGAGAUCUUUUUUUAUUUUUUAUACAUGGUUUUCAUUGUUAGAACUUUGUCUCUGGAGCUCCUUGUUCUGCUGAACAGAUAGCUGUAUGAAGGCAUUUGCACGUUUCUGUCAACAGUACUGAUCCAUAAAUCCCCUGUCUGAAGCCUUUUGAAGAACCUGGUCACGCAAUUUCUAACUUCUGUCAAACUCUAUGCCAUAAUAUUUGCUGGCACCUGCUGAUAUUUUUACCCAAGCUACUAAGGUAAACUAAACUAACUUCUGAAGUAAUGCUGCAUUGCCCAUGCUGGGACUGAUGACUUCGCUAUAUGGGUCAGAUAGGAAUGUUUUUCACAUCCCUUACAAAAACAGUCCAAUUAGCUGUCCGAUGGUACCCAGCUUGUCCUUGCAACUAACAUCAGAGCCUGAGGAAGAAAUAAGUUGUUUGGUUUCAGUCAAAUUCUCCCACUUUUUUAGGUUAAGUUAAUUUGUUUAAAUAAUUGUUUAAUUACUUGUUAAAAUAAAGAGAACUACUUAAAAAUACGUUAAAAAUAAGAAGAGUUGCAUUGGAAAAAUUAAAAUAAUAUUUGCUAAUUGAAGACAAGCAGAUUCAGAGGAAUAAUUGAAACCUCAGCAUAUGGGGAAGGAAUAUGGAGUCACUGGGUUGAGGCAUUAAAUAUCUUAAUUAACAUGGCUAACAACUCAAUACAAUAAUAAUAAUUUUAAAACCUGUAUAUGACACAAAACCAUACCAAUGUAAAGUAGUCCUGCCUUACAAGGAUUACAUCAUUUUCAGGACUGAAAAAAUGCUCUCAAAAUACUUGAUCAAGAGCAGAGUGUCAUAGAUACUCAUAACUACUGCAGUAUUUGCUGGAACAAGCAUCUAUAAUUGUUAUUAUAAUUAGAAAAUGAUGUUAACUAAAAAACUGCCUAAUUAUUCACUUACAGAAAUUAAACCCAGCACUUUGAGGACAUAACCAGAAACCUAGGGAAAGCUGGUUCAUUUGGGAGAGCUGCAGAAUAGCUUGUAUGCCAGAAUUGCCCUGCGACCGGCCCAUUUCACAGCAGCACACAGCCGAGCACACCAGGAGAAAAACAAUGUUGAUAACACAUUGAUGUUUAUAUUUGCCUGCUGAGACAAGGCUAGUCACAGUGAAGGGCCCAAGGAGGCGCGUGGGAACAGAAAUGGGACGGCUGACUUAAACAAGCCAAAGGGAUAUUCCGUACUAUAUGACAUCAAGUGGAAAGAGUUUUGAAGAGGGUGAGAGUUCACGAUCUGUCUCUUUGCUGCUCAGUGGGCUAGUUCAGCAUCAUUUGGGGACUGGUGAGCAAUUACGUGUGCAUCACUUGUUAAAUACAUUGUGGUGGAAACCCCAUCCUUGGAGACAUUCAGGGUCAGAAUGGGAAGCGCUCUAAGCAACCUGUCUAGCUCUAGGUGUCGCUGUUCAUUGCAGGGGAGUUGGACUAGACGACCCUUGAAGCGUCAAACAGUUCUAGGAAUCUGUGAUAAUGCUACAGGCAUAGAAUGUGCGUUUUUCAGCUUUUCUCUGUGAUUGACCAGGGCCGAAGAAAAGGUACUGCUCUGACUCCUUGUGGCCGUUCACAUGUAAAGUGUUAUUUGUACUCUGAAAAUGAAAAGAAAUAUCAAUGAGUUUUAAAUGUUAU